CCGGCCGGGUGGCAGCCUC
rnacentral:misc_RNA from 1 species